CGAAGAGAAAACGCGUGAUUUUUGCAUAACUGGGGGAUUUGCGAAGAGAAAACGUGUGUUUUACGCUUAAGUGGGGGAUUUGCAAGGAGAAAACGCGUCAUUUUCAGGUUAAAUGGGGGAUUUGCGAGUAGAAAAUGCGUGAUUUUCGCUUCAAUGGGGGAUUUUUGAAGAGAAAACGCGUGAUUUUCUGGUUAAAUUGAGCUUUCUUGGAGAGAAAUUGCAUCAUUUUCUCUUAACUGGGGGAUUCUCGAAGAGAAAACGCGUGAUUUUCGCUUAAAUGGGGGAUUCACGAAGAGAAAACGCGUAAUUUUCACUUAAAUGGGGGGUUUGCGAAGAGAAAACGUGUUUUUCGCUUAAAUGGGGGAUUCGCGAAGAGAAAACGCGUGAUUUUCGCAUCAAUGUGGGAUUCUCGAAGAGAAAACGCGUGAUUUUCGCUUCAAUGGGGGAUUUGCGAAGAGAAAAUGCGAGAUUUUCGGGUUAAAUGGGAAAUUUGUGAAUAGGAAACGUGAUUUUCGCCUAAAUGGGGGAUUCUCGAAGAGAAAACGCGUAAUUUUCACUUCAGUGGGGGAUUUCUGAAAAGAAAACGCGUGAUUUUCGGGUUAAAUGGAAGAUUCCUGAAGAGAAAAGGAGUGAUUUUUGCUUAAAUGGCGCAUUUGUGAAGAGAAAACCCGUGUUUUUUGCUUAAAUGGGGGAUUUGCGAAAACGCGUGAUUUUCGCAUAAAUGGGGGAUUCUCAAAGAGAAAAUGCAUGAUUUUCUGGUUAAAUGGGGGAUUUGCGAGUAGAAAACAUGUGAUUUUCGCUUCAAUGGGGGAUUUUUGAAGAGAAAACGCGUGACUUUCUGGUUAAACGGAGGUUUCUUGGAGAGAAAACGCAUCAUUUUCGCUUAAAUGGGGGAUUCUCGAAGGGAAAACGCGUGAUUUUCUGGUUAAAUGGGGGAUUUGCGAAUAGAAAACGCGUGAUUUUCGCUUAAAUGUGGGAUUUCUAAAGAGAAAACGCGUGAUUUUCGCUUCAAUGGGGGAUUUGAGAAGAGAAAAUGCGUGAUUUUCACGUUAAAUGGGGGAUUCUCGAAGAGAAAAGGUGUGAUUUUCGCUUAAAUGGGGGAUUUGAGAAGAGAAAAUGCGUGUUUUUCGCUUAAAUGGGGGAUGCUCGAAGAGAAAAUGCGAGAUUUUCGGGUUAAAUGGGGGAUUUGCAAAGAGAAAACGUCUGUUUUUCGCGAUAAAUGGGGGAUUUGCGAAGAGAAAACGCGUAAUAUUCGCUUAAAUGGGGGAUUCUCGAAGAGAAUACGUGAUUUUCGCUUAAAUGUGGUAUUUCUGAAGAGAAUACGCGUGAUUUUAGGGUUAAAUGGGGGAUUCUCGAAGAGAAAACGCGUGAUUUUUGCAUAACUGGGGGAUUUGCGAAGAGAAAACGUGUGUUUUGCGCUUAACAUGGGGAUUUGCAAAGAGAAAACGCGUCAUUUUCAGGUUAAAUGGGGGAUUUGCGAGUAGAAAACAUGUGAUUUUCGCUUCAAUGGGGGAUUUUUGAAGAGAAAACGCGUGACUUUCUGGUUAAACGGAGGUUUCUUGGAGAGAAAACGCAUCAUUU
ensembl:lncRNA